CUAAGAUCAAAGUGUAGUAUCUGUUCUUUUCAGCUUAAUAUCUGAAAGUUCCCUCAUUGAGGGACCAGUAUAUUAAACUGAUUUUUGUAAAACGAUGGGAUGUUCGGGGCUCGCUCCACUCCCGUCACGGGUCGGCCCGGCAUUGCAGUGCC
rnacentral:snRNA from 1 species